rnacentral:lncRNA from 10 species
UUCCAAUUGAGUGGCUGGGAAAAUGGCAGUGGCCCCACUUACACAAACAGGGAGGACAAAAUGCAGGGACAGGCAGGGGCAAGGGACAGAUAGGAGAGCCAAGAACUUUGGAGCUGACUUCAGAGGCAGGAUCUGAGAAUAGAACCCAAGGGUCCCUGCCUCCUGAAGACACCAACCAUUCCUCUUCCCAGCAGCACCCCUAGGAUGGCCUGUCCUGCUUCCUCCAGAUAGCCAGUCUUUUGCAGGGAGCUUGUUUCACUCAUGCUCCAAAACUCAUCUUGGUCACUCUUUUAUGAGGACAGUCCCGAUCUCUAUCUCCUCUACCCCAGCCUUUGCCCAAGACUCUAUGCCCCUCCUCUCGCUGGCCAAUUUCCAGGACACAGCUCCUGCAAGGCAGCUGUGGACUUUAUUUCCGAUCCCUAGGCUAGCACGAGACUGAAUGUUUCUCAAUGAAGCAAUGAAUGAAAUGAGUUCACGAAUGACCACGUGGGAGACAGAGCCAAUGACAGAGUCAGCAGCCCCGGCAGCCCCCACAUGACCGGCAUCCCCGCCACUCCUGCCUCUGCCUUCCCUCCAUAUGCAGGCCAGUCCACACCCUACAAGGGAGGGAGCCCUGGGAGACGGGGGGAGGCUCCAUCACUGCUCAGCCCAUCACCCCCAGCAGAGAGGCCCUGGCCAGCAUGCAGCUCCGUUGGGCACUGAGUCACUGGAAUCCUGCCAUCUGCACCCUACCUCUUGUUACACCCUCAACAGUGGGGAGACCUGACAGUUUGCAGGGCUA